CCACAGUCUGAAGCCUUGCAUUCCAGCAAAACCACAGAAGCUACAAAGACAUCAUGCUGGAGAAUUCGUGCUACACGGCUUCAUCGGUUUGCGCAUCUUCCCGUCUUCCUUCAGGUUUAUUUGGAAGCCCUUAUCCAGACUGACAGGAGUGACAGAAAUAGAGUCAGUGCCACACAGGUGAGGGGCGGCGUGGGCCAGGGAACAGAGUUUGCUUCACUCUCUGCGUCUUCCAGGAAGCACAGAUGGACCAUCCUUGUAAAACCUGUUUUAUGGUGGGAGAAUAAGUAUUCUCAAUGGGAUUUUAAAAUAUGCCCAUUUGCAAGCAACUAUUUGAAAAGAGCAGGCGUAACUGAUACACAAACAACUCCAUAAUAGGUUUGAGCUUUGUCUCUCAUCAGCUCAUUUCCCAAGUUUCCUAAAAAUAGCAAAAUUAACUCCUGUAAUUUUCAUUGACUCUCCCUUCCCCUUCCUCUGCUGGGAAGAAGUGCUUAUGAGCUCUGAACAGGAACAGGCCUGGUUAGAUUCAUAAAUGGAAUAGUUGAAGCAAUUAACAUCUGACUUUAGAGCUAAAUACGAUAUACCAGUAAGAAGCAGUCAUCUAAUUUAAUAAGUGGGAUGACAUGAUAAAGAACAAGCCAUUCUAAUUUCCAUUGUGUUAAAAAAUUGUGUUAAGAAAUUCCAAACCUCCGAAACAUUUCUAAGAAGGCCAAAUAAUUUUUCAUUUCAUAAAUGCAAUCACUAAAAGUUACAUUUGAAUAGUGACCUCCUUUGGUGCAUUAAGAAUAUUCAGGUUACACACAAGAAUACUUCUUUUUAAAAUUUUUUUUAUUGAGGUAACAUUGGUUUAUAACGUUAUACAAAUUUCAGGUGUACAUCAUUAUAUUUCAACUUCUGUGUGGACUACAUCAUGUUCACCACCCAAAGACUAAUUACUAUCCGUCACUGUACACAUGUGCCCUUGUACCCCUUUUGUCCUCCCCCCUCCCCACUUCCCCUCUGGUAACCACCGACCCAUUCUCUGUGUGUUUCUUUGUUAUUGUUGUUGCUAUCUUCCACUUAUUGGUGAAAUCAUAUGGUAUUUGUCUUUCUCCAUCUGACAUUUCGGUUGGCAU
rnacentral:lncRNA from 1 species